GUUAGUGGCGGACGGGUGAGUAACGCGUGGAAAACCUGCCGUAUACUGGGGGAUAACACUUGGAAACAGGUGCUAAUACCGCAUAACCAUAGUUACCGCAUGGUAACUAUGUAAAAGGUGGCUAUGCUACCGCUUUUGGAUGGGCCCGCGGCGCAUUAGCUAGUUGGUGGGGUAAAGGCUUACCAAGGCAAUGAUGCGUAGCCAAACUGAGAGGUUGAUCGGCCACAUUGGGACUGAGACACGGCCCAAACUCCUACGGGAGGCAGCAGUAGGGAAUCUUCCACAAUGGGCGAAAGCCUGAUGGAGCAACGCCGCGUGGGUGAAGAAGGUCUUCGGAUCGUAAAACCCUGUUGUUAGAGAAGAAAGUGCGUGAGAGUAACUGUUCACGUUUCGACGGUAUCUAACCAGAAAGCCACGGCUAACUACGUGCCAGCAGCCGCGGUAAUACGUAGGUGGCAAGCGUUAUCCGGAUUUAUUGGGCGUAAAGGGAACGCAGGCGGUCUUUUAAGUCUGAUGUGAAAGCCUUCGGCUUAACCGGAGUAGUGCAUUGGAAACUGGGAGACUUGAGUGCAGAAGAGGAGAGUGGAACUCCAUGUGUAGCGGUGAAAUGCGUAGAUAUAUGGAAGAACACCAGUGGCGAAAGCGGCUCUCUGGUCUGUAACUGACGCUGAGGUUCGAAAGCGUGGGUAG
rnacentral:rRNA from 1 species